CAGCAGCCGCGGUAAUACGGAGGGGGCUAGCGUUGUUCGGAAUUACUGGGCGUAAAGCGCACGUAGGCGGCUUGGUAAGUUAGAGGUGAAAGCCCAGGGCUCAACCGGGGAGGGUCAUUGGAAACUGGGAAACUUGAGUGCAGAAGAGGAGAGUGGAAUUCCACGUGUAGCGGUGAAAUGCGUAGAGAUGUGGAGGAACACCAGUGGCGAAGGCGACUCUCUGGUCUGUAACUGACGCUGAGGCGCGAAAGCGUGGGGAGCAAACAGGAUUAGAGACCCCCGUAGUCCCUGUCUCUUAUAC
rnacentral:rRNA from 1 species